GAGGAGGAAGUGAUCGCUAAGGGGAAAGAACCCCUUCCCGGAGACUAAGACCCCCAAGUUGUAGGUCUCCCACUUCUCGGUUAGGAAACCGAGGAGUCCGGAGUCCCGAUGCACACUGAGCAGCCGCUGCCCGACCUUGAACUUGUCCGUUGACCCUCGAAUACAACUAGGGUUUGCUGAAGAGCGGAAUCCAGGCUGAGGGCAUUCAGGGGGACGAGCCGGCCACGUCCUUCCGGCUCUGUUACGCCACGACUGAAAUUAAGGAUGUUGUUGGAGCGAAGGUGAGGUGGCUCACGUGAUGCAGAGAGCUUUAUGACUGGAGUCAGACCUGAAGAUCGCCUCAAUGUGCAAGGAAAUCCCACAGCGUUUCCCUUCUAGCUUUCCACAGGCCCCCGACUUACCUAGAGACAAUCCAGGAGUGUCCUUGGCCCCGCCCACAAACCCAACUCUGAGUCUGAUUGGACGGCAACAAAGGGAGGCUCCGCCUAUAGUUCCAGGAUAACGCCCUCCGCCCCCUCUCUAACAGAACUUUUUUCUGGUUCCUCCCAGAUGAGGCCCCCGUGUGGUCGCGUUGGGGUGGAGGGGGUGGGGUCAGACUAAAGAGUCUCGGUGGAGGAGAAAGAUGGGAGCUUAGCUCCUGGGAACUGGCGUGGAAGAUGGCUGGGGACUUGCUCUUGGGUCUGAUGGAGGAGGCGUGUGGACCCCUGGGUCCCUGCUUCAGGCCUCAACAGCACCCGGCGCCCUGGCUCCGUCGGCCUGCCAGGUGGCCCUGCCACGCCGAAGGGACCCGGGUUCCCAGUCUAUCCUUCUAGGACAGGAGACCCGCCCCAGAACUCUCCUCUCGGGAAGCCAAAACUGAGAAUCUGACCGGAGAAAAUGAAUCCGAUAUUUAGGCAACCAGAUAAAUCUUUAUUUAAGCCUUGGUGCUGUGGCCUUUUCUUCGUUCGGUACCUUGGGAAGCUGGGUCUGUGACACCUGGCUCUGUGAUAGCUGGGUCUGUGACAGCCCACUUUGUGGACCCUGGUCCUCUGGGGCUGCUGCCUUGUCGGUACGGACCCAGGACAUGACCGAAUGGAUCAGGGUCCCAGACCUAAAGCAAAGUACGCUGGGGAAGGGUGGGGUGCGAUCGUGUAAGCAGAUUAGGUCCUGAGUGAGGGACAGCCCUCCCAGCCUCCCUAUAUCUGAUCCUUUUCUAUGACCCAAGCUUCGCCGCCCUAGUAAGCACGCCCCUCUUUUCUAAGCCCCUCCCCCUAACCCCUCCUCCUACGUCAGGACGUUGGAGACCCCGCCCCUCGCCCCAAGCCCUGCCUUCUCCGGGAGGCGGCUCACGAGGUGGCAAAGCCGAGGAUCAGAAACACAAAGCCCCAGAUCAGCAUCUCGAACAGAAAGCCUCUCAGCACGUCCUUGGGAUUCAGACACUCUGACGGCUUGAGGGAUCGGAACCACUGAUACUGGGUCCCGGGCUUUGAUUUCGGGAUCUCCUCAAUGACUCUUUUGGGCAACACUGACAGAGGAGAGAGAAGGAGCAGUCCUGGGAGGGCCGGUCGUGGCCCAGGCAAGCUCUGUCCACGCCACCCUUCCCCAGGACCCAGGCCUCCCAGGAGAUAAGCACACCCCUCACUGCCUGAAGCCAGGCCACUGUGAGAGGUGGCCGCACCCUGGGCAGCAAGCCACCCCCCCUUGGCCUGAAACCACACGCCGACAGAAAGUUAGGCCCCCCAGGGCGCUCGCUGAAGCUGGCUGCCCCCCAAAGCCAGGACCCUGAGUCCCAUACGUCUGUCGACUCCCCAGCUCUGACCUGUGACUUCAAAAUGGAUGACCGUGGCUGGGCCGGAUCGCUCAGUGCCCAACUCGCAGCGGUAGUUACCCGCAUCCUCUGGCCUCACCAGUCGCUUGAUCAGGGUGGGCCGUUUCCCCUCGGACACCAAGGUCUCAGAAUUGCUCCCCCAAACCUAGACCCAAGCUCAAGGGGUCACAGAGGCCUGGGGAAUUCAGGGUUUGGGGCAGUACAGGUGUGAGAGCAUCACGGGCUCUCAGUGGGGAAGAUGGGAGUCCAGGGUCACUGGUAAGGGCAUGGGGUCCCCGGGGAUCCCUAGAAGUCACACCUGGUGGGUCAUGGGUCAUGGGGAUUGUGGCAACAAGCUUGUGGAUGAGGGGGUCGGCGCUCACACAAGCCUUAUGGACUUGGGGUGAAAGGGCCCACCCUGUAAAAGCUGUAAUAGGUCAGGCCUUGAGAUAAUUUAUGCCAGUCGAGCUCACAGUCCAGGAUCAGGUCUUCCGUUUCAUGGACGUUGAUUUGGCGCACUGGGGACAGGAUUUACGGUGGGACACUCCUUUGAGGUUUCCUGCCCUCCCGCCAGUGCCACCCACUUUGUCUAAGCCCCCCUUUCUGUCUCCACCCUCCGCUCCAGUCCCCGCCCUCUCUAGGCCACGUCUCUCCUCUGGCUCCGCCCCUCUUGGGCCAACCCCUGCGGUUGGCCCCAGCUCUCUCACCCCCACAAUCUCUGGAUUUUCGACAAACGUGAAGCUGCUUUUUACAGUUACUGCACCAGAUCAGAAGCUGCAACAUUGUACCUGAAGGGACAGGAUCCAGGCUGUAUUCGCCCUGAGAGGCGAGGCUAAAAGGAGAGGGCAGGGCCAAGUUCUGGGGCGGAGUCAGGCGCCUAAUCCCUAGAGGGCAGCCCAAGGGGCGGGGCUAGAAGGCAGUCCUCCCUGAAGAGGGGUGUAACCAGUCUCAGGAAAGAGCGCCCAGAGAAGGGGACCCGCUAUCCAGGAAGUCCGCUGUGCAGAAGGACUACUGGGGACCUGGAACCUCUCAGACGUGGGGAAGGAAGAACCACCGAGACCCAAAGCCGGAGGAAAAAGGCUGGGUAUUCACGGGGCAAGGAUGAAGGAUAGAAAACCAGUUCCCAUAAUCCGGACUCACCACAUUUGUUGGGACAGAAAUCUGCCUCAGAAGGAAGAAAAGAGAA